AACGAACGCUGGCGGCAUGCCUAACACAUGCAAGUCGAACGAGACCUUCGGGUCUAGUGGCGCACGGGUGCGUAACGCGUGGGAACCUGCCCUUAGGUUCGGAAUAACUCCCCGAAAGGGGUGCUAAUACCGGAUAAUGUCUUCGGACCAAAGAUUUAUCGCCUUUGGAUGGGCCCGCGUUGGAUUAGCUAGUUGGUAGGGUAAAAGCCUACCAAGGCGACGAUCCAUAGCUGGUCUGAGAGGAUGAUCAGCCACACUGGGACUGAGACACGGACCAGACUCCUACGGGAGGCAGCAGUGGGGAAUAUUGGACAAUGGGCGAAAGCCUGAUCCAGCAAUGCCGCGUGAGUGAUGAAGGCCUUAGGGUUGUAAAGCUCUUUUACCCGGGAUGAUAAUGACAGUACCGGGAGAAUAAGCGCCGGCUAACUCCGUG
rnacentral:rRNA from 1 species